rnacentral:rRNA from 1 species
UGAUCAUGGCUCAGGAUGAACGCUGGCGGCGUGCUUAACACAUGCAAGUCGAACGAAGCGGUUUAACGGAAGUUUUCGGAUGGAAGUUAAACUGACUGAGUGGCGGACGGGUGAGUAACGCGUGGGUAACCUGCCUCACACAGGGGGACAACAGUUAGAAAUGGCUGCUAAUACCGCAUAAGCGCACAGCUUCGCAUGAAGCGGUGUGAAAAACUCUGGUGGUGUGAGAUGGACCCGCGU